rnacentral:lncRNA from 1 species
GGGAACACAUCCAAGCUUAAGACGGUGAGGUCAGCUUCACAUUCUCAGGAACUCUCCUUCUUUGGGUCUGGCUGAAGUUGAGGAUCUCUUACUCUCUAGGCCACGGAAUUAACCCGAGCAGGCAUGGAGGCCUCUGCUCUCACCUCAUCAGCAGUGACCAGUGUGGCCAAAGUGGUCAGGGUGGCCUCUGGCUCUGCCGUAGUUUUGCCCCUGGCCAGGAUUGCUACAGUUGUGAUUGGAGGAG